rnacentral:rRNA from 1 species
UACAGAGGUCUCAAGCGUUGUUCGGAUUCAUUGGGCGUAAAGGGUGCGUAGGCGGCGCGGUAAGUCGGGUGUGAAAUCUCGGAGCUUAACUCCGAAACUGCAUUCGAUACUGCCGUGCUUGAGGACUGGAGAGGAGACUGGAAUUUACGGUGUAGCGGUGAAAUGCGUAGAUAUCGUAAGGAACACCAGUGGCGAAGGCGGCUCACUGGACCGGUACUGACGCUGAUGCGCGAAAGCGUGGGGAGCAAACGGGG